rnacentral:rRNA from 1 species
AUGAGCCGAUGUCCGAUUAGCUAGUUGGCGGGGUAAUGGCCCACCAAGGCGACGAUCGGUAGCUGGUCUGAGAGGAUGAUCAGCCACACUGGAACUGAGACACGGUCCAGACUCCUACGGGAGGCAGCAGUGGGGAAUAUUGGACAAUGGGCGCAAGCCUGAUCCAGCCAUGCCGCGUGGGUGAAGAAGGCCUUCGGGUUGUAAAAGCGCCUGUUUGUCCGGAAAGAAAAGCACUGGAUUAAUACUUCGGUGUUCUGACGGUACCGGAAGAAUAAGCACCGGCUAACUUCGUGCCAGCAGCCGCGGUAAUACGAAGGGUGCAAGCGUUACUCGGAAUUACUGGGCGUAAAGCGUGCGUAGGUGGUUCGUUAAGUCUGAUGUGAAAGCCCUGGGCUCAACCUGGGAAUUGCAUUGGAUACUGGCGGGCUAGAGUGCGGUAGAGGAUGGCGGAAUUCCCGGUGUAGCAGUGAAAUGCGUAGAGAUCGGGAGGAACAUCUGUGGCGAAGGCGGCCAUCUGGAC